rnacentral:rRNA from 1 species
CCUAGACAGUGGUACAAGAGAUUUGACACCUUUAUGCUCUCUCAAGGUUUCAAAAGGUCUAAUUAUGAUAGUUGUGUUUAUUUGAAAACUGUCAAUGGUUCAACUAUUUAUUUGCUCCUUUAUGUUGAUGAUAUGCUUAUUGCUGCAAAGAGUAUGUUAGAGAUUAAUGAACUAAAGAAGCAAUUGAGUAAUGAAUUUGAGAUGAAGGAUUUGGGUGCAGCAAAGAAAAUACUUGGCAUGGAAAUAUCCAGAGAUAGACCGUCUGGAAAAGUAUAUCUAAGUCAGAGAGGAUAUAUUGAUAAAGUUCUUCGUCGUUUUAAUAUGCAUAAUGCCAAGCCAGUAAGUACUCCGUUAGCUGCACACUUCAAAUUAUCAUCAGCUUUAUGUCCUAAGUCAGAUGCAGAUAUUGAGUACAUGUCUAGAGUUCCCUAUUCAAGUGCAGUUGGUUCACUUAUGUAG